rnacentral:rRNA from 1 species
GACGAACGCUGGCGGCGUGCUUAACACAUGCAAGUCGAACGGAAAGGCUCCAGCUUGCUGGCGUACUCGAGUGGCGAACGGGUGAGUAACACGUGGGUAAUCUGCCCUGCACUCUGGGAUAAGCCUGGGAAACUGGGUCUAAUACUGGAUAUGACCUUUCUCCUUAUGGGGUUUGGUGGAAAGUUUUUCGGUGUAGGAUGAGCCCGCGGCCCAUCAGCUUGUUGGUGGGGUGAUGGCCUACCAAGGCGACGACGGGUAGCCGGCCUGAGAGGGUGAUCGGCCACAUUGGGACUGAGAUACGGCCCAGACUCCUACGGGAGGCAGCAGUGGGGAAUAGUGCACAAUGGGCGGAAGCCUGAUGCAGCGACGCCGCGUGAGGGAUGACGGCCUUCGGGUUGUAAACCUCUUGCAGCAGGGACGAAGCGUAAGUGACGGUACCUGCAGAAGAAGCACCGGCUAACUAUGUG